rnacentral:rRNA from 1 species
UACAGAGGUCUCAAGCGUUGUUCGGAUUCACUGGGCGUAAAGGGUGCGCAGGCGGCCAAGUGUGUGAGGCGUGAAAGCCCGGGGCUUAACUCCGGAAUUGCACCUCAAACUACAUGGCUAGAGCAUUGGAGAGGGUAGCGGAAUUCACGGUGUAGCAGUGAAAUGCGUAGAUAUCGUGAGGAACACCAGAGGCGAAGGCGGCUACCUGGACAAUUGCUGACGCUGAUGCGCGAAAGCCAGGGGAGCGAACGGG